rnacentral:sRNA from 1 species
CAGUGCGAAAAAAGCCAAAGGAAAAUUUGUGUUGUGCUCGCACAUAAACAAAUUUUCCUUUGGCUUUUUUCAUAGGGCGAAGCCCGUGACCGAGGUGUAGCGGAGCGGAACCGAGGUGCACUG